UGCUUUUACUUUCUACGCAUUUCUAUUUCCUCCUUUAUUUAUUUAUUUGUGAUAAACUUAAAUGACCUGGCGACGGAGGCGGGACUCGAGGCGAGGCCGAGGAUGACGAGGGACGGCCGGGGGCCAAUUGCCGAGGGGGCUGCCGGGUGAGGGGCAGCGGCGGUGGCCAGUGAGAGGCAGGUGUCUGGAGCGCGUUAGGCCUAUGGAGUCGGUAUGCCCCAGCGGAGGCGGCGGUUAUCCGCUGUCUGGCGCGGCGACCUGGCGCGGGGAGCCGCGGGAGGGGAGGAGAGGGUGUCGCUGUCGCUGACGGCUGAGGCGGCAGGAGGGAACCUGGAUCCCGGGCGGUGGGAGGGAAAGCGGGAGAGAGGGUCUGGCGAGGCGGCGGCGCUCAAGGCCACGCUGGGUCAGGCUUGGUUCUUGUGGAGCGGCGUGCAGGUUGCCAAGCCAAGAGGUCGGCGGAGGCCGCUGAAGCAAUGCCAGUGCUCAACGGGAAAAUGCGUUCGUUCAGGAGGUUUAGAAAAAUGCUAUGUAAAGCAGUUUGGAGUAAGCCGCCGUUAAUAUAAAUGAGAAUAUUAUUCUAACGGGAGAAACAGAUUGUUUCAUACUACUAAACGCCUGAAGUACCAGCGACCCAACCCAAGCCCACAAAAUUCAAUAUCCUGAGGGCUAAAAGGAACAAAUAAAGCAACACGGAAAAUUAAAUGCGGUUCAGAUGCUUCAAUAAAACCUCCAUCCUCAUCCAUUUGUCACUCAACCUAGCACUCCUCAGAGCCAAAUUCUUACCAAGUGUUGGUCCAGUACUCAGGCAUGGGGGAAAUAGACGAGGCUUAAAGCCGGCGGGAAGCUCAGGGAGGAUUCCUAAAAAGGAUUCCUAAAAAGGGCUAAGAGGGGAAGGAAGAAAAAAAAUCGCUUUUCACUAUACACAAAAAAAAAAAAAAACUGCCAAAAUUAAAAGUUGCAGUAUUGGGGGAACUCAGCAACAAUUUGUCACAAAAUAAGGGACUUUAUUAAAAAUACCAUGCAUACAAAUAAUAUACUGGAUUUGCAAUUUGAAAACAAUUUUUUUAUAGGACAUGUAUUUGAUGUAUAGUUUCUAAUAGACUCAAGUCCUCUAAUUUUUAUCCUAGCCUUCCUUGGGACAUACAGCAUGCCUUAAAGAAAAAAUUUUUCAUGAAACUUGUUAAAGAUGGUUACGCAGAUUUUAUUCAGGACCACUGAGGGCAAUGGAAAAUGCAAUGGCAUCUAAUCAAGAAUCACAGCCAGGAAGCUAGAGUCAGAAGAAAGACCAAACUGCACCAAAGUUUCUUCUUCGUCUCCUUCCACAAAUCCAAAUGAGGACACUGAAUCCUGGGAAAGCACAGCAGUUUGGCUAAGGUCACAACAGAGUUUCUUGAAUCCCUGCCUCUUUAGAAUUUGAGGGGUAGAAGUUGUCAACUGUUAAGUGGAGAUCCUUAGACCUGCAGUUAACAGGUUGUGACACUGAGCACCUGGAAGCACUCAUUUUACCUGGAGCUGAGAUAUGAUUUCAUUGCCUGAGAAGUUGAAUAAAACAGAGCAAAGGAAUUUAGAAAGAAGCUUCUAAUUUCAAAAUACACUGAAAGGGAAAAGAACAAGGAAUCAGGACUACCUGGAAAACUGACUGACCCUAAGUCUGGGGCAGUGAAGUACAAGGUGAGCCAGGAGUAUUGAAUUGAAUCAAAAAGUAAAGAAGUGGGCUUCGCUGGUGGCUCAGUGGUUGAGAGUCCGCCUGCCGAAACAGGGGACACGGGUUCGUGCCCCGGUCCGGGAAGAUCCCACAUGCUGCGGAGCA